rnacentral:rRNA from 1 species
UACGUAGGGGGCUAGCGUUGUUCGGAUUUAUUGGGCGUAAAGCGCGUGUAGGCGGCCAGGUAGGUCCGCUGUGAAAACUCGAGGCUCAACCUCGAGAUGUCGGCGGAAACCAUCUGGCUAGAGUCCGGAAGAGGAGAGUGGAAUUCCUGGUGUAGCGGUGAAAUGCGCAGAUAUCAGGAAGAACACCCGUGGCGAAGGCGGCUCUCUGGGACGGUACUGACGCUGAGACGCGAAAGCGUGGGGAGCGAACAGG